rnacentral:lncRNA from 1 species
AUGCAGUCAGCUCUCUGCAUCUGUGGGUUCAACCAACCUCGGACUGAAAAUAUUCAGUAUUUGGGAAAAAAGUGUCAUCCCAUACUGAACAUAAAUGAUAUUUUGAUCUUGGGGUUGAGGGUCAUAAUUUCCUCUUUAAAAUGGACAUUAAAAUUCAGCACGCAUUUGGAGUACAAGGAAGGGUGAUGAUCACAGUGUAGGCUAAGUCCAACAUUGUGGCAUCUUGACUGUGGUG